UUCAAUUUUUUUUUUUGAAUUUUCGAAUUUUUGAAAUUUUGAAUUUCCAAAUUUUUGAAUUUUCGAAUUUCCAAAAAAAAAAAUUAUAUAUAUAUUUUAAAGCUUUGUAGGUGAAGCUUUGGUGUUGAAGCUUUGGUGUUAAAGCUUUGUAGGUGAAGCUUUGAGGUUGAAGCUUUGUUGGGCACCAUGAAUUGAUUUUGCUUCACACUAUCUUGAUCAAGAUAGUGUGAAGCUUUUGUAGGUGAAGCUUUUUUGUUGAAGUUUUGUAGGUGAAGCUUUUGUGGGUCAGGCUUUUGUGGGUCAAGCUUUUGUAGGUGAAGCUUUUGUGGGUCAAGCUUUUAUGGGUCAAGCUUUUGUGGGUCAAGCUUUUGUGUGUGAAGCUUUUGUAGGUCCAGCUUUGUUGGGCACCCUGAAUUGAUUUUGCUUCACACUAUCUUGAUCAAGAUAGUGUGAAGCUUUUGAGAAUUUGUAGUUGUCCUCCAUUGAUGAAGCUUUUGUUGGUGAAGCUUUGGAGUUGAAACUUUGUAGGUGAAGCUUUGGAGUUGAAGCUUUUGUUGGGUACCAUGAAUUGAUUUUGCUUCACACUAUCUUGAUCAAGAUAAUGUGAAGCUUUAUAGAAUUUGUAGCUGUCCUCCAUUGAUGAAGCUUUUGUUGGUGAAGCUUUGGAGUUGAAGCUUUUGUUGG
rnacentral:lncRNA from 1 species